GUUAAGACAUGCGGAAUCUGCCGUUUGUUUGGGUGCGUUACUGAACCUUAACCCUAGGUUUGCUGCCUCGCCUCCGUCCCUUCUCCACCAAUGCGCCCAACGGCGGCAGCGUGGCCGCGAAGCAUGUGACGAGGUCCAAUUUCAAUGUGGCGCUGGAGGGCCUUAGGGUCUGCGUGGAGGAGUCGGACUUGGUGGUCAUUGAUCUUGAGAUGACCGGCGUGAUGAGUGCCCCAUGGAGGGACUCGUUCGAGUUCGACCGAUCUGAUGUUCAUUACCUUAAGCUGAAGGACUCUUCUGAGAAGUUCGCUGUCGUGCAGUUCGAUGUCUGCCCCUUCCGCUAGGAUUCAUCCAAGGGCUCCUUCUUCGCCCAUCCAUUACUCUUUACAUUGCAAGCAUAACUUCUAUAUCUUUCCAUGGAACGAGUUGCCACUUCAUGGGCCACCUAAUGAUUUCCUAUGGCAAGCAACAUCCAUCGACUUCCUUGCUAAAUACCAAUUUGACUUCAAUGCAUGCAUAUAUGAAGAGAACAAGAAGAAGAAGCCCUCAAAGGUUUAUCUUCAGAGUACCUUGAGAGAUUAGCUAAGUCCUUUUGUAAUUUUGAGGAGCCUGUGGAUAUACCAAUUGCGAGAACAUCUGACAUUCUUUUUUCGAAGAGGAUGAAGAACAAGCUUCAUAAAUGGCAUGAUUCUAUACUUAGAAGUCCUGACAAAGCUUACAUUGACAAAGAAGAUGUUGUAUCAACAACGCACAAUUUCAAACAAUUUUCUUUAAGAUGCGUCCUGCUAUCAUGCUAAAUGGGUUUACCUCCCACCAACUAAAGUUGAUUCAACUGGCAUCAAAAGAUCUUAGAUUUGGAUCUAUUUGGACCGGAAUUGGGCUCAAAUCGGAG